UACGUAGGCAGCGAGCGUUGUUCGGAGUUACUGGGCGUAAAGAGUGCGUAGGCGGUUUUCUAAGUUUGGUGUGAAAUCUCCCGGCUUAACUGGGAGGGUGCGCCGAAAACUGGAAGGCUUGAGUAUGGGAGAGGUAAGCGGAAUUCCUGGUGUAGCGGUGAAAUGCGUAGAUAUCAGGAGGAACACCUGCGGUGUAGACGGCUUACUGGACCAUAACUGACGCUGAGGCACGAAAGCGUUGGUAGCAAACAGG
rnacentral:rRNA from 1 species